GACAGAGGUGGGGAGCGUUAUCCGGAGUCAUUGGGCGUAAAGGGUACGUAGGCGGCUAGUCAAGUCUGAGGUUAAAGACCACUGCUUAACUGUGGGAAGGCCUUGGAAACUGACUGGCUAGAGUGGGGCAGGGGUUGCGGGAAUUUCCGGUGUAGCGGUGGAAUGCGUAGAUAUCGGGAAGAGCACCUGAGGCGAAAGCGCGCAACUGGGCCCUAACUGACGCUGAGGUACGAAAGCUAGGGGAGCGAAUGGG
rnacentral:rRNA from 1 species